UGCAAACUGCGAAUACCGGAGAAUGUUAUCACGGGAGACACACGGCGGGUGCUAACGUCCGUCGUGAAGAGGGAAACAACCCAGACCGCCAGCUAAGGUCCCAAAGUCAUGGUUAAGUGGGAAACGAUGUGGGAAGGCCCAGACAGCCAGGAUGUUGGCUUAGAAGCAGCCAUCAUUUAAAGAAAGCGUAAUAGCUCACUGGUCGAGUCGGCCUGCGCGGAAGAUGUAACGGGGCUAAACCAUGCACCGAAGCUGCGGCAGCGACACUAUGUGUUGUUGGGUAGGGGAGCGUUCUGUAAGCCUGUGAAGGUGGCCUGUGAGGGUUGCUGGAGGUAUCAGAAGUGCGAAUGCUGACAUAAGUAACGAUAAAGCGGGUGAAAAGCCCGCUCGCCGGAAGACCAAGGGUUCCUGUCCAACGUUAAUCGGGGCAGGGUGAGUCGACCCCUAAGGCGAGGCCGAAAGGCGUAGUCGAUGGGAAACAGGUUAAUAUUCCUGUACUUGGUGUUACUGCGAAGGGGGGACGGAGAAGGCUAUGUUGGCCGGGCGACGGUUGUCCCGGUUUAAGCGUGUAGGCUGGUUUUCCAGGCAAAUCCGGAAAACCAAGGCUGAGGCGUGAUGACGAGGCACUACGGUGCUGAAGCGACAAAUGCCCUGCUUCCAGGAAAAGCCUCUAAGCAUCAGGUAACAUCAAAUCGUACCCCAAACCGACACAGGUGGUCAGGUAGAGAAUACCAAGGCGCUUGAGAGAACUCGGGUGAAGGAACUAGGCAAAAUGGUGCCGUAACUUCGGGAGAAGGCACGCUGAUAUGUAGGUGAAGCGACUUGCUCGUGGAGCUGAAAUCAGUCGAAGAUACCAGCUGGCUGCAACUGUUUAUUAAAAACACAGCACUGUGCAAACACGAAAGUGGACGUAUACGGUGUGACGCCUGCCCGGUGCCGGAAG
rnacentral:rRNA from 1 species